rnacentral:rRNA from 1 species
UACGUAGGGUGCAAGCGUUGUCCGGAAUUAUUGGGCGUAAAGAGCUCGUAGGCGGUCUGUCGCGUCGAAUGUGAAAAUCCGAGGCUCAACCUCGGACCUGCAUUCGAUACGGGCAGACUAGAGUUCGGUAGGGGAGUCUGGAAUUCCUGGUGUAGCGGUGAAAUGCGCAGAUAUCAGGAGGAACACCGGUGGCGAAGGCGGGACUCUGGGCCGAUACUGACGCUGAGGAGCGAAAGUGUGGGGAGCGAACAGG